rnacentral:rRNA from 1 species
GGGCCCGCACAAGCGGUGGAUCAUGUGGUUCAAUUCGAAGCAACGCGAAAAACCUUACCUGGGUUUGACAUCCUCUGACAUCCGUAGAAAUACGGCUUUUGUAGCAAUACAACAGAGUGACAGGUGCUGCAUGGCUGUCGUCAGCUCGUGUGGUGACAUGUUGGGUUAAGUCCCGCAACGAGCGCAACCCCUGUUCUUAGUUGCCAGCAUUUAGUUGGGCACUCUAAGGAGACUGCCGUGGUUAACACGGAGGAAGGUGGGGAUGACGUCAAGUCCUCAUGGCCUUUAUAUCCAGGGCAACACACGUGAUACAAUGGACGGUACAGAGGGACGCCAAGGGGUGACCCGGAGCAAAUCUCAAAAAGCCGUUCUCAGUUCGGAUUGGAGUCUGCAAUUCGACUCCAUGAAGGUGGAAUCGCUAGUAAUCGCGGAUCAGCACGCCGCGGUGAAUACGUUCUCGGGCCUU